CCAUCCGCGCGUGACUGGCGAUGAAGGUGGGCGACCACCGGGGAGCGCGCGGGCGAUAGACGCCGCUCGCCUGGGCCCCCUUC
rnacentral:ncRNA from 2 species